rnacentral:rRNA from 1 species
UACGUAGGGGGCUAGCGUUGUCCGGAAUCAUUGGGCGUAAAGAGCGUGUAGGCGGGUCCGGUAAGUCCGCUGUGAAAGUCGGGGGCUCAACCCUCGAAUGCCGGUGGAUACUGUCGGGCUAGAGUGCGGAAGAGGCGAGUGGAAUUCCUGGUGUAGCGGUGAAAUGCGCAGAUAUCAGGAGGAACACCAAUGGCGAAGGCAGCACUUCUGGGCCGGUACUGACGCUGAGGAGCGAAAGCGUGGGGAGCAAACAGG